UAUUCCUCCUCUGUCUCCCAGCCCGAGGUGCAGUGCUGCAUCUCUGGUCAGUUGUGAGUCUGAGAUGAAGCACUGUAGCUCGGGAAGGGAGGAACUGUCCAACUCA
rnacentral:pre_miRNA from 15 species